GAUGAACGCUGGCGGCGUGCCUAAUACAUGCAAGUCGAGCGAACAGACGAGGAGCUUACUCCUCUGACGUUAGCGGCGGACGGGUGAGUAACACGUGGAUAACCCACCUAUAAGACUGGGAUAACUUCGGGAAACCGGUGCUAAUACCGUAUAACAUGUUGAACCGCAUGGUUCAACAGUGCAAGACGGUCUUGCUGUCCCCUAUAGAUGGAUCCGCGUCGCAUUAGCUAGUUGGUAAGGUAACGGCUUACCAAGGCAACGAUGCGUAGCCGACCUGAGAGGGGGGUCGGCCCCACGGGAACUGGACCGCGGUCCAGACUCCUACGGGAGGCAGCAGUAGGGAAUCUUCCGCAAUGGGCGAAAGCCUGACGGAGUAACGGCGCGUGAGUGAAGAAGGUCUUCGGAUCGUAAAACUCUGUUAUUAGGGAAGAACAAAUGUGUAAGUAACUAUGCACGUCUUGACGGUACCUAAUCAGAAAGCCACGGCUAACUACGUG
rnacentral:rRNA from 1 species